AGUGAACGCUGGCGGUAGGCCUAACACAUGCAAGUCGAACGGCAGCACAGUAAGAGCUUGCUCUUACGGGUGGCGAGUGGCGGACGGGUGAGGAAUACAUCGGAAUCUACUUUUUCGUGGGGGAUAACGUCGGGAAACUUACGCUAAUACCGCAUACGACCUACGGGUGAAAGCAGGGGAUCUUCGGACCUUGCGCGAUUGAAUGAGCCGAUGUCGGAAUAGCUAGUUGGCGGGGUAAAGGCCCACCAAGGCGACGAUCCGUAGCUGGUCUGAGAGGAUGAUCAGCCACACUGGAACUGAGACACGGCCCAGACUCCUACGGGAGGCAGCAGUGGGGAAUAUUGGACAAUGGGCGCAAGCCUGAUCCAGCCAUACCGCGUGGGUGAAGAAGGCCUUCGGGUUGUAAAGCCCUUUUGUUGGGAAAGAAAAGCAGCAGGUUAAUACCCCGCUGUUCUGACGGUACCCAAAGAAUAAGCACCGGCUAACUUCGUG
rnacentral:rRNA from 1 species